ACCCGCUGAACUUAAGCAUAUCAAUAAGCGGAGGAAAAGAAACCAACAGGGAUUGCCCUAGUAACGGCGAGUGAAGCGGCAACAGCUCAAAUUUGAAAUCUGGCGUCUUUGGCGUCCGAGUUGUAAUUUGCAGAGGGCGCUUUGGCAUUGGCAGCGGUCCAAGUUCCUUGGAACAGGACGUCACAGAGGGUGAGAAUCCCGUACGUGGUCGCUAGCCUUUACCGUGUAAAGCCCCUUCGACGAGUCGAGUUGUUUGGGAAUGCAGCUCUAAAUGGGAGGUAAAUUUCUUCUAAAGCUAAAUACUGGCCAGAGACCGAUAGCGCACAAGUAGAGUGAUCGAAAGAUGAAAAGCACUUUGGAAAGAGAGUUAAAAAGCACGUGAAAUUGUUGAAAGGGAAGCGCUUGCAGCCAGACUUGCCCGUAGUUGCUCAUCCAGGUUUCUACCUGGUGCACUCUUCUAUAGGCAGGCCAGCAUCAGUUUGGGCGGUUGGAUAAAGGUCUCUGUCAUGUACCUCUCUUCGGGGAGAACUUAUAGGGGAGACGACAUGCAACCAGCCUGGACUGAGGUCCGCGCAUCUGCUAGGAUGCUGGCGUAAUGGCUGUAAGCGGCCCGUCUUGAAACACGGACCAAGGAGUCUAACAUCUAUGCGAGUGUUUGGGUGUCAAGCCCGAGCGCGUAAUGAAAGUGAACGGAGGUGGGAACCUUUCGGGGUGCACCAUCGACCGAUCCUGAUGUCUUCGGAUGGAUUUGAGUAAGAGCAUAGCUGUUGGGACCCGAAAGAUGGUGAACUAUGCUUGAAUAGGGUGAAGCCAGAGGAAACUCUGGUGGAGGCUCGCAGCGGUUCUGACGUGCAAAUCGAUCGUCAAAUUUGGGCAUAGGGGCGAAAGACUAAUCGAACUAUCUAGUAGCUGGUUCCUGCCGAA
rnacentral:rRNA from 1 species